rnacentral:rRNA from 1 species
UACAGAGGGUGCGAGCGUUAAUCGGAAUUACUGGGCGUAAAGCGCACGUAGGUGGCUUUGCAAGUCGAUUGUGAAAUCCCCGGGCUUAACCUGGGAACUGCAGUCGAGACUGCUUUGCUUGAGUAUGGGGAGAGGGAGGUGGAAUUUCCGGUGUAGCGGUGAAAUGCGUAGAUAUCGGAAGGAACAUCAGUGGCGAAGGCGACCUCCUGGACCAAUACUGACACUCAAGUGCGAAAGCGUGGGGAGCAACAGG